AUUGAACGCUGGCGGCAGGCCUAACACAUGCAAGUCGAGCGGAUGAAGGUAGCUUGCUACCUGAUUCAGCGGCGGACGGGUGAGCAAUGCCUAGGAAUCUGCCUGGUAGUGGGGGACAACGAUUCGAAAGGAACGCUAAUACCGCAUACGUCCUACGGGAGAAAGUGGGGGAUCUUCGGACCUCACGCUAUCAGAUGAGCCUAGGUACGAUUAGCUAGUUGGUGAGGUAAAGGCUCACCAAGGCGACGAUCGUUAACUGGUCUGAGAGGAUGAACAGUCACACUGGAACUAAGACACGGUCAGGACUCCUACGGGAGGCAGCAGUGGGGAAUAGUGGACAAUGGGCGAAAGCCUGAUCCAGCGAUGCCGCGUGUGUGAAGAAGGUCUUCGGAUUGUAAAGCACUUUAAGUUGGGAGGAAGUGCAGUAAGUUAAUACCUUGCUGUUUUGACGUUACCGACAGAAUAAGCACCGGCUAACUUCGUGCCAGCAGCCGCCGUAAUAC
rnacentral:rRNA from 1 species